rnacentral:rRNA from 1 species
GGGGGAUUCGGUGAUCCUAUGCUGCCGAGAAAAGCAUCGACGCGAGGUUUUAGCCGCCCGUACCCCAAACCGACACAGGUGAUCAGGUAGAGAAUACUAAGGCGAUCGAGAGAAUUAUGGUUAAGGAACUCGGCAAAAUGCCCCCGUAACUUCGGGAGAAGGGGGGCCCCAACCUUGAACACCACUUGCUGGUGGGAGGGGAUCGGGGCCGCAGAGACCAGGGGGAAGCGACUGUUUACUAAAAACACAGGUCCGUGCGAAGUCGCAAGACGAUGUAUACGGACUGACUCCUGCCCGGUGCUGGAAGGUUAAGAGGACCGGUUAGCCGCAAGGCGAAGCUGAGAAUUUAAGCCCCAGUAAACGGCGGUGGUAACUAUAACCAUCCUAAGGUAGCGAAAUUCCUUGUCGGGUAAGUUCCGACCUGCACGAAUGGAGUAACGACUUCCCCGCUGUCUCAACCAUAAACUCGGCGAAAUUGCAGUACGAGUAAAGAUGCUCGUUACGCGCAGCAGGACGGAAAGACCCCGAGACCUUUACUAUAGUUUGGUAUUGGUGUUCGGAGUGGCUUGUGUAGGAUAGGUGGGAGACGUUGAAGCCCGGACGCCAGUUCGGGUGGAGUCAUCGUUGAAAUACCACUCUGGUCACUUUGGACAUCUAACUUCGGCCCGUAAUCCGGGUCAGGGACAGUGCCUGAUGGGUAGUUUAACUGGGGCGGUUGCCUCCUAAAAAGUAACGGAGGCGCCCAAAGGUUCCCUCAGCCUGGUUGGCAAUCAGGUGUCGAGUGUAAGUGCACAAGGGAGCUUGACUGUGAGAGAGACAUCUCGAGCAGGGACGAAAGUCGGGACUAGUGAUCCGGCGGUACAUUGUGGAAUGGCCGUCGCUCAACGGAUAAAAGGUACCUCGGGGAUAACAGGCUGAUCUUGCCCAAGAGUCCAUAUCGACGGCAUGGUUUGGCACCUCGAUGUCGGCUCGUCGCAUCCUGGGGCUGGAGUAGGUCCCAAGGGUUGGGCUGUUCGCCCAUUAAAGCGGUACGCGAGCUGGGUUUAGAACGUCGUGAGACAGUUCGGUCCCUAUCCGCUGCGCGCGCAGGAAAUUUGAGAAGGGCUGUCCUUAGUACGAGAGGACCGGGACGGACGAACCUCUGGUGUGUCAGUUGUACUGCCAAGUGCACCGCUGAUUAGCUACGUUCGGAUGGGAUAACCGCUGAAAGCAUCUAAGCGGGAAGCUCGCUUCGAGAUGAGAUUUCCAUACACCUAGCGUGUGAGAGGCCCCCAGCCAGACCACUGGGUUGAUAGGCCGGAUGUGGAAGCGAGGACUAACGACUCGUGAAGCUGACCGGUACUAAUAGGCCGAUAACUUACACC